GACAGAUGCGAUGAAGCCAGCCUCCAGGUCAGACAUGCUGAAUCUUUCCUGGGUUCUCCACUUUCCUGCGAGGUCUCAGAAGACCAUCAGGACAGCUGGCUCGUUGUCUUUCAUACCCUUCCACUUAUGCUGAACACACUGAGUUUCAGGAGAAGAUGCCCAGGUGACCUGCCUCAGACAUGGCUCUCACAGGCUGAUGGUCAGCAGGCUACCAGCCUACAGUCAAUCAUUUUCCCCUGUCAGCUCCAACAGGAGGUCAAAUUCCAACCUAGUCUAUAAACUUCCCAGAAUUCCUUGUCCAGUCUGGGGUGAAGAUAUCGAGCAAACUUCAGGUGUUCAUGUUUCUGUGAGAAUCUCAUGGUUUCAUCAGCCAGGUCCUGCCUGAGUCCUGAAGGGUCUUUCUCAAGGCCAUGUUCAUGAUGAGCAUCUAAGACCCUGGGCAGAGUCUGACAUGCCUGGGCUGAGUUACCUCACCCCCUCUCUCUGAGGGUGGAUUCAAGUGAGGGAUCCUGAUUUGUUGCUGUUUCCUUCACUCUCUGUCCUUUACUAAAGGCUUGAGCCACAAUGUGGGGACCAUAACACAGAGUCAUCCAGCACUGACAAUUCUAUGUGUGAAGUAGGAUUAGCUAUACCCAUUACCCAGAGGUUACAGAGAAUUACUUACGGUGGACAUGGAACUGCACGGAUACUUUUGUAGGAUCAUAGCUUUGCAUUAGUAUUUGCAACGUGUAGGCUCCGGUGUCAUUCUGAGUGACAUUCUGGAAGAGCAGGGAUCCAUUGGGGUAUAUUGUCUCUCUGCCACUGUAUGCAGGCCCUGUUAUAAUUUCGCUAGGUGACGUUAUAAAUCGUGUAAUUUCGUUACUGUUGUCUGUAUUUUCUCCCUUGUACCAGUAAAAGACUAGGGGUGUCUCUGGCAGAUUGUGGACAAGUAGAAGAACAUCUGCCCCUUCAGCAACGUGGGGCGGAACUGCUUCCACAGUGACUUGGGCCAUGGAGGGAGAGCUCCAGUAGAUCAAAAGUGAGGCUAAGAGGGAAGAGGAAAAAACUAUCAAUAUUAGAUCUUUGCAUUUGGUAGAAAUUGAGACCUGAGUGUGUUCAACUCUCAGCCUUGGUGUGUGUGUCAUAUUGGGGGGAGGUCAGCAGCAUCACCCCCAUUCCUCAGUAUCCCUGAAUCUUUCCACUGAAUGAAACUUUUCUUGAGUGUCUGCACAGCCAACCCCUUACUCCCUCAGAUCCCUGCUCACACUCAGAAUCUUUGGUGAGUGUAGGCAUGUCUUCUCUGACCUCCUCCCCUAAAGCCUUCAUUUUCUGACCUUCCCAACUCUGUUUUUUUCUGAAGUGUUUGUCAACCCCUGACCCCACCUUCUGGAUGUCCUUGCUACUCUGUCUUCCUGCCCAGUAGCACCAGGACUCUGUGAGGAGGACUGGUUUAAUUUUUGUUUAAACCCCACUGCCUGGAACAGGCUCAGACACCUAUGAGCAAAUCACUUUCCCAGCGCCUGGGGUUUAUUUGCGGAUUCCUCAGGGUUGUGUGUAUGAAAUGACCCUGUUUACUGGCCGCAGUUUGAGUUUCACUUAGAGAGUCAUCUGACACAGUUGUGGGAGUCAGUCUUCAGGGUACAGAGGCCAGUGCUGGUAAACUUACUGUGGGGAACCUCUGAGUUUUUCCUUCCCACUUACAAAUUUGCAAGCACUGCCAGCUUCCUGUUGCUCUCAGGCUACAAGCAGAAGCCAGAUGUCUCCUCUCAGACAAAGUCCCUCUCUUAGAAGACUCCAUCCAGUCUCUGAGCUCCCCUGCUCUCCACACCCCUGAGGAAUGUCUCCUCACCUGCCAGCAGGAGUCCGUUCCAGGGUAGCUGCCAUUUGUGGAGAGGAGCUGAGGAGAGUUCCAUGUCUCUGCUGUGGCCUGGGCUCUUCCUCUGGACAGGAGGUUUGCUUCUCAGGCUGCUGCCAAGUCUGCCUGCUCUGGUGUCUGCUCUGCUUUUCUUCCAGAUCCUCCUCCUAGAGGAGGACACCUCUUGGAGUCACAUGGGCUGAGGGUGGAGUCUGUGCGUCAGUGCUGCCUCCCUUCCUUCUAUUUCUUUCUUUUUGGUUCUGUGUUCUAAAACAUAGUUUGAGCCACAAGGUUUGGAAGUGUUCUGUGCCCCUAGAGAGCAGCAGCUCACCCCAGGGCCUUGUCCCUGUACUUCCUAUAGCCAAGCGUGUAUUUCCUUGUGAUACAAAAAACGCAGCAGAGCCCAGUCUGCCUGUGAUCUCAAUGCUCUGGGAAAGUGGGAGUUACUCCUGGGAGGAAGUGACAGUUAUCUCUAGGGGCUGGAAAAGGUCUGAGUGACAACUGGGGAGGAACCAGAUCCAUGGUCACUGCUCUCACCGGUCAGGUGUCUGAUACAGGGAUACAAGUUAUCUCAGGGGUUCACAUCCCUGCGUGCAGGAGGAGGUGACCUCUGUUUCCUAGAAAGAGGACUGUGUGCUCUAGCUUCCUAUGGAAAGCCGCAGGGAGACACCCCUCCCCCCAGCUUCCUGUGCUGUCUGAGUGUGAUUCAGGUCUGCCCAUGCCCUCCCUGACUCUUCUGGAAUGCCUUUGCUCUCCUUGGUGACUGCCCUGUGAUCUCCCCAUCUUUCCUCAUGGGUGUUGUGAGGGGGAGGGGACUACAUAGGGUCUCCUUGUAGAGUUGGGUUCUCAGAGACACAGGAAAUGAUUAUGUGAGGAAGCUCCAGGACUGUUAGAACUGGUAUGGAGACAAGGCUACAAGACAUGUUCAGCCCUCAGGGAGUUUCCCUGUUGAUUAUGUGCUUUCUUUUCGCCCCCUGGUGUCUAUGAGGAGACCUGCAGCUCAUGUCUGUGCUGUCACAAGGAUGGUAGCCAAGCUCCAAAGGCUGUAAUGGAGCUGAGCACCAAGUAUCCCAGGGGAGGUACCAGAGUGCAGCUGCCUUUGAGGAUCCAGUUGGAUUUUUUGCUGGAGACUAUAACAGCUGAGCAGAACAGAACUUGUCAGGACUCCGUAUGCAGACUGUGCUUGGCAUUGUGACUGGGGUUUCUGUUGGUGUGACUCUGAUGGCUUCCCUGGACUUCAUCCUGUUCCUCAGAACGACUGGCUGGUCCUAAGGCUGCUCUCCAUAUUAUCCUCCCUGGAUGGAUAAGUCAGGAAAGAAGAAGACACAGUCCGUGGACUGUGCACCUGACUCCCCGAUCCUGGACUUCCAAGGAUGCUUUCAACCCAUACCGCCAGCUCCCCCCUAAUCAGCUAGUACCGGUGAUGGUUCCUCAAUGGCUUCCUCACAUAAUUUAGGCACAACUAGGGACCCUCUGCUGGCUUCUGUCCUGGUCUGCACAGCUGCACACAGUAGACCUGCAGCGUCCAAAGGGGGUCAGUGCCCAGCAUCUGGUGUCCCCCAGCCUUUCUUUCAAUCCAUCUAUUCAGGAAGGGGUAGCACCAGGGUCUGAGCGUGGUGCUGGCUGAGGUUACUAGUAGGAGAGAAUGUGUCUGGACAGGCUAGUGGGAGAGCUGCUCACAUUAGCAACUUUUGUUACUGUUACCUGCAGGAGAGAAUUCCCUAGGCUGGACCCUGGGGAAGAGGAACUGCCUGGAGAACUGUCUCCUCUGUCUCUCCCCUUGGGGGACCCUGACCUUCCCGUGAAGUCUCCUAAGCUCGUCAGAACAGUUGGCUUAUGUCGUGGACCUGUCCGCUGAGAUUCAGGUGAAGGAGAUGCCUGGGUAACCUAUGAAUUGCAGCUGUUGUGGCAGUGCACAGCUGGUUCCACACUCUACGUACCUUGGAUAGUCAGUGAAGCCCUGUUCCCUGUCAGCUCUGACAGGAAGUCAAACUCUAGCCCUGGAGACAAGCUCUCCAUAGUCACGUAGAGUCGAGUCUGGGACUGAGGUCUGGAGCCAGGCCUUCCUUUCAAGUGAUUCUCUCUCUAAUAAAUAACCUGGUACUUCAACCAGACCCUGCCUGAACCCUACAGGAUCUUUCUGAGGCUGUAUUGGUGGGGAGAUCCUCAAGGGUCUGGACUGAAUGAAGGUGGUUUCCCUCUUGAGUUACGAUUCCACAGGUCCUCCUCUCGCUAGGAUAGAUUCUGGUGGGGGUUGUGAUCUUUGCAGCUUGUCUCCUAUAUGUCCUACACCGUUCUGGAGUAUGUGGCACCUGGGAAAAGACCAUAGAUUCAGUCUAAUUAUAAUUAAAAUAUUUAUCCAUCAGCUGCCAGCAGGACAACAAUUUCUGAAUCAAACUUGAGAUUGCCGUGAGAAGCGGGUGAGGGAAGGAUUUGUAAAGGUGAAAAGCAGAGGAAGACCCUAAAUAUCCACUCAGGCAAGCAGAAAGGGGUCAAUUCUGUCAAGUUAAGUGGUCAAGGUAAUCCAAAUCAAUCUUUGGUUGUCUGCAUAAACAAGUUACAGAAGCCAAAAAUUCAUUUAGGAACAACAGGCAGAUGGUCACAUCUGUACGUUCUGGGCGGGAGGUCACUGUGACAGGGUUGCUGGGCACUUGUCUUUCAGGAACUCGAGUCAGAGACAAACGGAGAGUGGGAACAAAGGUGGACGCCCAGCAUAACAUGGAGUUUCUUUAGCCCUCACAGCACUGAGUGCUCAAAUCCUAACACGGGAGCACAAUACAAGGAAGAAUUGGAAUUCUUCUCGUCCAGCACCCAGAGGUCACAGAUCGCCAUUCUCCGUGUACCUGGAACGUCACAGGUGUCUCUUGAUCAGUGUUUGGAGGUUAGGUGUAGUGUGUCCUCCUGUAUGAUGCUGUGGAACAGCAAGGCAUUAUGGAAUAUUGUUUCUCUCCCACUGCAUGCAGGUCCUGGCUUACUUGAAUGAAUGCUUUUUACAAAAUGUGCAAUUUCUUGGCUGUUGCCUGGAUUUUCCCCCUUGUACCAAUAAGAAGCAUACGUAUCUCUGGCUGACUGUGGCCAAAGAGAAGCGUGCUCUUCCCUUCAGCAACAUGAGGUGGCAUUGGUUCAGUAAGGAGCUGGGCAGCGGUGAGAGAGAGGUCUGGAAUGUGAAAAGUGAAUCUAACAGUGAAAGUGCGUUCAUUGUGGCAGUCUGAAUGUAAUUGGCCCCCAUGCGCUCACAGGGAAUUAUUAUUAGGAGGUGCGACUUUGUUGGAGUAGGUGUGGCCUUGUUGGAGGAAGUGUGUGAUAGCACGAACUGAAACAGAGGCCAUGGAGGACUGCUGCUUACUGGCUUGUUCCCAAGGCUUGUUCAACCUGCCUUUUAAAUAUAUUAUAUAUAUAUAUAUAUAUAUAUAUAUAUAUAUAUAUAUAUAUCUCCAAUUGAAGAGCACCUGCUCAGGGGUGGCACAGAUCACAGUGGAAUGGGCCCUUUCACAUCAAUUAUAAAUGAAGAAAGCGGCCCAAGACCUGUCUCCAGGCUGCAGGACUCUGCACACACCAUGGCCAGUAGAGUAAUGUGAGGAAAGAAGGAAGUCCUGUUCAACAGGAUGCUGGAGCCUGUGUUGGCUCAGACUUCUGGAGUCUGACCCCAGGCAGAUUAUUUGAGAUGCUUAAGUGCAGUACAAUUUGGACAAAAAGUUUCCGGGGUGUAACAUAAUUCCGUGUGCACAAGGAGACAUAACUCCAUCAAAACUCUUCUCAACGCACAUGCCACAUCUUCCAUGAAUAUAGGCUCUGUAGAUAGGCUCCAUGUAUUAUCCUAAGGGCAGAAGGGAGGAUCUGGUGUGGCCUCCAUCAUACAGAGAGCACAGAGGUCACCUAGAUUAAUAACCAUUUCUGGUCCUAUAAGUGGGUGUUUUGGGGAACCCUUAGCCGUAUAGAUAGCACAGAGGUCACCUUCACUGUUAACUACUUCCAGUCCUGCUUGUUGGAGCUUGUGGGAGCCAGAUAUGGCCUGAUGGUACAGAUGGUGCAGAGGUCACCUAAGCUAUGGGCCACCUCCAUUCCCAGCCUUCUGGGCAGAAAGCACGUUAUAACAACCCAGCAUGCAGUACAAGGACCUUUGUGCUCCCUACAACAGGGUAAUCUUGUGGAGGCAUUUUCUCAAUUGAUGUUCCCUCUUCCCAAAUGAGCCUGGCUUGUGUCAAGUUGACAAAAACUAAUGAGCACAGCAGGCUUUGAGAUUGUGUGUCUCAGGGAAACGGUUUUUCUGUGUGUCCCAGUGUCUCCAUCUGGCCCUCACUGAGAUGUGCAGCUCAUGUCUGAGGUGUAGCAAGUAUGGCAAAGAGCCUCCAUAUGCUGUGUGGGCCCUUACAGCUGUCCGUAAGUUUCCCAGAGACCCUUUGAAUAGGUAGCUUUUCAUUAGAAGAUGGUAUAUCUGUGGAGAUGUCACUGUGAUUUUGAUAUGUACUUACACAAUGAUUAAUGAUAUUGAACUUCUUUUUCAUUUUUUUUUGUUGUUGUAGCUGCUGCUGUUUUUUGUUUGUUUGUUUUGGCUUUUCAAGAUAGUGUUUCUCUGUAUAGCAGCUAUGACUG